GGGGUUCUAGCUCAUCGGUAGAGCGCUCGCUUAGCAUCGACCUAGGUGUCUGCGAGAGGUACAGGAUUCGACUCCCUGGUACUCCA